AUUGAACGCUGGCGGCAGGCCUAACACAUGCAAGUCGAGCGGAUGAAGGGAGCUUGCUCCUGGAUUCAGCGGCGGACGGGUGAGUAAUGCCUAGGAAUCUGCCUGGUAGUGGGGGAUAACUUCCUGAAACGGGCGCUAAUACCGCCUACGUCCUGCUGGUGCAAGUUGGGGAUCUUCGGACCUCACGCUAUCAGAUGAGCCUAGGUCGGAUUAGCUAGUUGGUGGGGUAAAGGCCUACCAAGGCGACGAUCCGUAACUGGUCUGAGAGGAUGAUCAGUCACACUGGAACGGAGACACGGUCAAGACUACUACGGGAGGCAGCAGUGGGGAAUAGUGGACAAUGGGCGAAAGCCUGAUCCAGCCAUGCCGCGUGUGUGAAGAAGGUCUUCGGAUUGUAAAGCACUUUAAGUGGGGAGGAAGGGCAGUAAGUUAAUACCUUGCUGUUUUGACGUUAACAACAGAAUAAGCACCGGCUAACUUCGUG
rnacentral:rRNA from 1 species